ACCGGAUUUAAUAUCUUCAUUAGUCAAAGUCUUAACAUAUUCAUGAUAAAAAGCCAUUGCAAAUGUGUGCCUCGUCGCACCAUCAACAUUGUAGGAGGUUUGAUGUCAUUCCCAAACCUAUCCCUGACCCUUACAAUGACAACUUUGGGGUGUUGUAUGGCAGAAUGACAUCCAACCACCAAACUUUAGACCAUAAAAAUCAUUCAAGCAUCACCACCCAUAUGUGAAGAAAACGUAUCCUUCCUCUUUGUGUACUCUUCAAAUUCAUUUCCACUUAGGUGAGUUAAAAGACAGUAAUAUUUUACUGAAAAACCAAACUCUCUCAUAAGUUCUCAUUUGCAGUAGACUACACCUGACAUCUUCGGCAUAAGUAUAUUCAAAUUUUAAACAUCAAUAGACACAUAGUAAUACAUACUCUUAAAUUAAGUAAUGACAGGGCAAUAUAAUGGUUGUUGAAGUUCAUGGUUAAAUUGGUACACCUCCUAUUUGCAAGUGACUUUUUGAGAUAGGCUGAUUAUGCAAUGGACAUGGACAGAUAGACUAUUUGCCUCAGGUUGUUUGGUUUUUAAACGGGUAGUUAUUUUGGCGGACUGACUAUUUGUCUCUGCAAAUUUAUGGGUAGUUAAUGGUAGAAUGAAGAGUUGUCAUUGAUGCAUCUCUGUAAUAUUGCAGUCAUAAUAAAUGACACUUAUUAAUGGUUGUGCGGGAUUACGAUUCGAAGAGGUUGAAUCUGCAGCUCCUUGCCUACUGCAGAGUCAUAAUUAGUAGAGGCUGCCUUUGAUUCUUAUUGUGCAUUUUAGGCGGAAAAAUGGCCUCUGAUUUUGCC
rnacentral:lncRNA from 1 species